CAGCAGCCGCGGUAAUACGAAGGGGGCUAGCGUUGUUCGGAAUCACUGGGCGUAGAGCGCACGUAGGCGGAUAUUUAAGUCAGGGGUGAAAUCCCAGAGCUCAACUCUGGAACUGCCUUUGAUACUGGGUAUCUUGAGUAUGGAAGAGGUGAGUGGAAUUCCGAGUGUAGAGGUGAAAUUCGUAGAUAUUCGGAGGAACACCAGUGGCGAAGGCGGCUCACUGGUCCAUUACUGACGCUGAGGUGCGAAAGCGUGGGGAGCAAACAGGAUUAGAUACCCGUGUAGUCCCUGUCUCUUAUAA
rnacentral:rRNA from 1 species